CUGUAAUCCACCAAGCGACUGAACUCAUCCACUGCGUAGGAGUUGUGGGGCAGCCAUGCUUCUCUACAAGGAUACAGAUACCAAGAGAAAGAACCCAUUCUGCAGGUGGAGAAAAAGAGGACUCUGGGGUCUGUUACCUGAGUUUCCAGCUGUCUCCUGAGCCAGGUUCAGCACCUUCCUCUGUCUCGUAGCAAAUCAGCCCCUGGAUUCAGCGAGAUAUCCUGAGAGCCUACAAGUAACUUUGGC
rnacentral:lncRNA from 10 species